rnacentral:rRNA from 1 species
CCUACGGGUGGCAGCAGUGGGGAAUAUUGCACAAUGGGCGAAAGCCUGAUGCAGCAAAGCCGCGUGAAGGAAGACGGUUUUCGGAUCGUAAACUUCUGUUCUUAGUGAAGAAUAAUGACGGUAACUAAGGAGCAAGCCACGGCUAACUACGUGCCAGCAGCCGCGGUAAUACGUAAGUGGCAAGCGUUGUCCGGAAUUACUGGGUGGAAAGGGAGCGUAGGGGGGAAGCCAAGUCGGCUGUGGAAACUACGGGCUUAACCUGUAGACUGCAGUUGAAACUGGCUUUCUUGAGUGAAGUAGAGGUUGGCGGAAUUCCGAGUGUAGCGGUUAAAUGCGUAGAUAUUCGGAGGAACACCGGUGGCGAAGGCGGCCGACUGGGCUUUAACUGACGCGGAGGCUCGAAAGUGUGGGGAGCAAACAGGAUUAGAUACCCGUGUAGUC